CCUACGGGUGGCAGCAGUGGGGGAUAUUGCACAAUGGAGGAAACUCUGAUGCAGCGACGCCGCGUGAGGGAAGACGGUCUUCGGAUUGUAAACCUCUGUCUUUGGGGAAGAAAAUGACGGUACCCAAAGAGGAAGCUCCGGCUAACUACGGUCCAGCAGGCGCGGUAAUACGUAGGGAGCGAGCGUUGUCCGGAAUGAGUGGGGGUAAAGGGUGCGUAGGCGGGCGAGAAAGUUGACGGUUAAAUCUACCGGCUAAACUGGUAGCUGCGUUGUAAACUUCUUGUCUUGAGUGAAGUAGAGGCAGGCGGAAUUCGUGGUGUAGCGGUGAAAUGCGUAGAUAUUAGGAGGAACACCAGUGGCGAAGGCGGCCUGCUGGGCUUUAACUGACGCUGAGGCUCGAAAGCGUGGGGAGCAAACAGGAUUAGAUACCCCAGUAGUC
rnacentral:rRNA from 1 species